rnacentral:rRNA from 1 species
AUUGAACGCUGGCGGCAUGCCUUACACAUGCAAGUCGAACGGCAGCGGACCUUCGGGUGCCGGCGAGUGGCGAAACGGGUGAGUAAUAUAUCGGGAACGUACCUUUCAGUGGGGGAUAACGUAGCGAAAGUUACGCUAAAUACCGCAUAUUCCUGUGAGCAGGAAAGCAGGGGAUCGCAAGACCUUGCGCUGAUUGAGCGGCCGAUAUCAGAUUAGCUAGUUGGUGAGGUAAAGGCUCACCAAGGCGACGAUCUGUAGCGGGUCUGAGAGGAUGAUCCGCCACACUGGAACUGAGACACGGUCCAGACUCCUACGGAGGCAGCAGUGGGGAAUUUUGGACAA